GCCGCGGUAGUAUAGCCCGGCCAAGUAUGCGGGCCUUUCGAGCCCGUGACCCGGGUUCAAAUCCCGGCCGCGGCACCA
rnacentral:tRNA from 5 species